rnacentral:rRNA from 1 species
UGAGGUUAAGCGACUAAGCGUACACGGUGGAUGCCUAGGCAGUCAGAGGCGAUGAAGGACGUGCUAAUCUGCGAUAAGCGCCGGUAAGGUGAUAUGAACCGCUAUACCCGGCGAUGUCCGAAUGGGGAAACCCGGUGCACUUGUGCAUCAUCAUUAACUGAAUCCAUAGGUUAAUGAGGCGAACCAGGGGAACUGAAACAUCUAAGUACCCUGAGGAAAAGAAAUCAACCGAGAUUCCCCCAGUAGCGGCGAGCGAACGGGGAAAAGCCCAGAACCUGAAUCAUCAGCUGCAGUAGUGGAAGCGUCUGGAAAGUCGCGCGAUACAGGGUGAUAGCCCCGUACACGAAAGUGCAGUUGGUGUGAGUUCGAUGAGUAGGGCGGGACACGUGACAUCCUGUCUGAAUAUGGGGGGACCAUCCUCCAAGGCUAAAUACUCCUGACUGACCGAUAGUGAACCAGUACCGUGAGGGAAAGGCGAAAAGAACCCCGGCGAGGGGAGUGAAAGAGAACCUGAAACCGUGUACGUACAAGCAGUGGGAGCCCUGAUUUAUCAGGGUGACUGCGUACCUUUUGUAUAAUGGGUCAGCGACUUAUAUUCUGUAGCAAGGUUAACCGAAUAGGGGAGCCGCAGGGAAACCGAGUCUUAACUGGGCGUUAAGUUGCAGGGUAUAGACCCGAAACCCGGUGAUCUAGCCAUGGGCAGGUUGAAGGUUGGGUAACACUAACUGGAGGACCGAACCGACUAAUGUUGAAAAAUUAGCGGAUGACUUGUGGCUGGGGGUGAAAGGCCAAUCAAACCGGGAGAUAGCUGGUUCUCCCCGAAAGCUAUUUAGGUAGCGCCUCGUGAACUCAUCUUCGGGGGUAGAGCACUGUUUCGGCUAGGGGGUCAUCCCGACUUACCAACCCGAUGCAAACUACGAAUACCGAAGAAUGUUAUCACGGGAGACACACGGCGGGUGCUAACGUUCGUCGUGAAGAGGGAAACAACCCAGACCGCCAGCUAAGGUCCCAAAGUCAUGGUUAAGUGGGAAACGAUGUGGGAAGGCCCAGACAGCCAGGAUGUUGGCUUAGAAGCAGCCAUCAUUUAAAGAAAGCGUAAUAGCUCACUGGUCGAGUCGGCCUGCGCGGAAGAUGUAACGGGGCUAAACCAUGCACCGAAGCUGCGGCAGCGACGCUCAGGCGUUGUUGGGUAGGGGAGCGUUCUGUAAGCCUGUGAAGGUGUGCUGUGAGGCAUGCUGGAGGUAUCAGAAGUGCGAAUGCUGACAUAAGUAACGAUAAUGCGGGUGAAAAACCCGCACGCCGGAAGACCAAGGGUUCCUGUCCAACGUUAAUCGGGGCAGGGUGAGUCGACCCCUAAGGCGAGGCUGAAAAGCGUAGUCGAUGGGAAACAGGUUAAUAUUCCUGUACUUGGUGUUACUGCGAAGGGGGGACGGAGAAGGCUAGGCUAUCCGGGCGACGGUUGUCCCGGUUCAAGCGUGUAGGUGUGGUGACCUGGCAAAUCCGGUUACCUUUAACACUGAGGCGUGAUGACGAAGCUCUACGGAGCUGAAGUAGUUGAUGCCCUGCUUCCAGGAAAAGCCUCUAAGCUCCAGGUAACACGAAAUCGUACCCCAAACCGACACAGGUGGUCAGGUAGAGAAUACUCAGGCGCUUGAGAGAACUCGGGUGAAGGAACUAGGCAAAAUGGUGCCGUAACUUCGGGAGAAGGCACGCCGGCAAUAGGUGAAGUGACUUGCUCAUGGAGCCGAAGCCGGUCGAAGAUACCAGCUGGCUGCAACUGUUUAAUAAAAACACAGCACUGUGCAAACACGAAAGUGGACGUAUACGGUGUGACGCCUGCCCGGUGCUGGAAGGUUAAUUGAUGGGGUUAUCCGUAAGGAGAAGCUCUUGAUCGAAGCCCCAGUAAACGGCGGCCGUAACUAUAACGGUCCUAAGGUAGCGAAAUUCCUUGUCGGGUAAGUUCCGACCUGCACGAAUGGCGUAAUGAUGGCCAGGCUGUCUCCACCCGAGACUCAGUGAAAUUGAACUCGCUGUGAAGAUGCAGUGUACCCGCGGCAAGACGGAAAGACCCCGUGAACCUUUACUAUAGCUUGACACUGAACAUUGAGCCUUGAUGUGUAGGAUAGGUGGGAGGCUUUGAAGCGUGGACGCCAGUCUGCGUGGAGCCGACCUUGAAAUACCACCCUUUAAUGUUUGAUGUUCUAACGUAGACCCGUAAUCCGGGUUGCGGACAGUGUCUGGUGGGUAGUUUGACUGGGGCGGUCUCCUCCCAAAGCGUAACGGAGGAGCACGAAGGUUAGCUAAUCCUGGUCGGACAUCAGGAGGUUAGUGCAAAGGCAUAAGCUAGCUUGACUGCGAGAGUGACGGCUCGAGCAGGUGCGAAAGCAGGUCUUAGUGAUCCGGUGGUUCUGAAUGGAAGGGCCAUCGCUCAACGGAUAAAAGGUACUCCGGGGAUAACAGGCUGAUACCGCCCAAGAGUUCAUAUCGACGGCGGUGUUUGGCACCUCGAUGUCGGCUCAUCACAUCCUGGGGCUGAAGUAGGUCCCAAGGGUAUGGCUGUUCGCCAUUUAAAGUGGUACGCGAGCUGGGUUUAGAACGUCGUGAGACAGUUCGGUCCCUAUCUGCCGUGGGCGUUGGAGAAUUGAGGGGGGCUGCUCCUAGUACGAGAGGACCGGAGUGGACGCAUCACUGGUGUUCGGGUUGUCAUGCCAAUGGCAUUGCCCGGUAGCUACAUGCGGAAGAGAUAAGUGCUGAAAGCAUCUAAGCACGAAACUUGCCCCGAGAUGAGUUCUCCCUUGGACCUAGAGUCCACUAAAGGAACGUUGAAGACGACGACGUUGAUAGGUCGGGUGUGUAAGCGCAGCGAUGCGUUGAGCUAACCGAUACUAAUGAACCGAGAGGCUUAACCUUACAACACCGAAGGUGUUUUGGUGAGAGAC